GAUGCGACCUCAGCUCAGGCGGGGCUACCCGCUGAGUUUAAGCAUAUCAAUAAGCGGAGGAAAGAAACUAACAGGAUUCCCCUA
rnacentral:rRNA from 1 species